rnacentral:lncRNA from 1 species
AUAUCAUCUUUUGUACUUGAUGAUUAUAGAUGUGUAAAUGAAAGAAUAUGAAUGAUGUAAAAGAGCUUAUGUUAAAUGCAAAGAGAUAUGUUUUGAGAUAUCAUGAGAUGUAUAAGAGAAAAAAUGAUGUUAAAGAAAAGAAUGUGAAUGUAUAAGUUGAAUGCAUGUAUUUGGUUAAAAGUUAAUCAUUGUACUUGUUUAUU